UCUGUUGUAACAUUUCCGAGUUCCAUAUACUGUAUGUUCCUCUGAAGGCUUGUUCUGGAAGCGCUGUGGGAGGUAUGUCUGCUACCAUUAUCCACAUUGUCACGGCCCCACAACCCACUUUCAAUAUUCAAGCACACAGCGCACAGGGAACAGGGAUAGACAGCAUCCUGAUAGGAUUGUUUCCAGAGUCCAUAUGCCAGGCCAAGAGAUUACUGCCUCUUGCUUCCCUAGUGUGUAUCUGAUUUUGUGUGUUAUAGAUCAAGACUUUCACUAAAACCCAACUUUAUGAGAUUUUGCACUAUGCUGUGCUCAGCGCUGGUGGUUGUGGGUAAGGUAUAUUGGCAGAGUGUUUGUGAACUUGCAGUUCUCCUAUUUACUGCAUGUGAGAGUUCAGUGAAUUGAUACACUUGUGUACUGUACCUUUAACUUUAGGCAUUUCUGUUUAAGGAUGCAUGCAUGUAGCAUCUUAAGAUGCUAAUAUGCACCCUUUGAGGGUAAAUAAUGUACAAAUGUGUACCAAUAAGGUUAUACAACCGUGCUGUUAAUUUUUGUAUGUUUUUUUUUUUUUUUUUUUUUUUUUUUUUAGGAUUUAUUAUUAUUUAUUAAAAAUGUGAGAGGAUUCCAUGUGUUAUGUACAUUAAUUGGUAAUGGUAAAUUUUGUCAAUUUAUUACUACAUACAGAAAAAGGUUAGAGAAAUCAUGUAAAUAAUUUAUUUUAUAAUUUCAUUUCAUUUUCUACUUGCAGCCAGUUAUUACACCACUGCACCCCUAAUGGUAAUUUUUGCACAUUUGUUUCUGAUGGUGUUCAAAAAACGUAAUUAGUACAUACAGAAAAAGGUAUAGAGAAAUGAAGGUCUUAUUUAAUGAAAGUUUAAUUUAUUUUAGCCAUGUGAGACUUACUGUACAUCCAGUUACGGCCACAGUGCGCCUCAAAUUAUAAUUUUCAUGCAUUAUUUCUGAUGGUGUUCAACUUUUAUAUCAUUUUAUUUUAUUUACUAUAUUCCAUAUAGUUAAGAACCACACAGAGUUUUUUUUUUUUUUUUUUUUUGCCUUUCUUGCCUUCAGAGACAAUGAACAGACAUUUCCAAAAGAUUUCAGUAUUUUUAGAAAGAAAAUACUCAUGGCAAGCUGUUGUGUGAUUAUUUAUUUAUUUUGCACCUGCACAACUUUUCAGGUAAAAUAAGUUAAUUCGGUCUAAUGGGAUUGUUUUCCCCCACUGGGAGGAUUGUUUUCUGUUCCGCAGAUACUUCCAGAGAAUCACGUUGAUGAUAUAACACCCGAAGACAUACACACGAUACCUGGAGAAACUUAAAAUGGUGUGGGUGCUGAGUUCUGCAGCCUUUCAGUGGAACAAAGUGAUUUUUAUUACAUUUACUUUAUUCAAAUAUUAUUUACUUAUUUAUUAAUCGCCUGGUGAUAUCACAAAUGCUGCUGUUCACUGUAGUCAAGACCACUUAUAUACACAAAAGCAAAACUUUGCUUCAAAAGGCCCUCGCUACAUCUGUGGCAAGUGCUAUUAUUAACCAUUGUCAUUCUCUACCGCAUCUAUUCAAAAUGAUUCCCCAUGGGUAUAAUUACUCAUUUAGGUCCCAGAAUAAACUUUCCAUUUAGAUAUCAAUAAUGAUUUCAAUAUCUGCGAUAGUAUCCUCUCUGGUACUUGGUAUUGGAUCGAAAAGAAAAUAAGUAGCAUCUCCCGUCCCUAGUGAUUCGUCCUCUUUUCAGUUAUUUAAGAUCAAUUGACGUCAUUGACUUUUUAAAUGACUCCGGUGUUUUGACUCUUGUUAGCAAUGUGCCCUCUAUAGAUUUAUACCGAUGAAUCUCAUUACAUACAUUCCUUCUCCUUCUUCACUCACGUGCUGUCCCCUCUGGCGACGUGUACACUAGUCUCUGCUUCCUCCUUCCUGCUCGUUCAUGCAUUCUCAUGGCGGCCUGUCAGUGUCCUAUUAGUCAAACACUGUCAUCAUCACAGUUUAUUAGCAUGUGAAAGGUCACAGUAAUGUCGGAUGCUAAUUGCGGUGGCGCUAAACAGCUGAUUGAUCGACAGAUGAGCUGAAAUGUGACCAUGCACCAUGAUUCAUGUAGAUAUCGAUACAUACUUCAUUCCAUCUAGCAUAAAUAAAGCCAAACAGUCUGUCACAUUCUGUCGUACUUAUCAGCAGGUCCAGCCGUGCCGUGAGUGCCGGGCAUGAUGGAGAUAUAUAGAGGUCUUAAAAUAACCCUUAAAGAUGACAGCACUGAUAGAGUCGCACACAAGAUAAGCAUGUGACUUCAUGUUGAUCGAUGGCAGAGAAAUAAAGUGCAAUCUUAAUGAAGAUGGGAACGGUGUGUGUGGUACGGUGUGUCUGAGCCCCUGUCUGUGGGGAGCACUGGGGCAGAUAGUAUUUGCUCUGUUUAUAAUUUCUCUCUGUUUCAACCAGUGCUGACAGUUUUUUUUUUUUUUUUUUUGUACAAACCUUGCUGGCAUCAUGGCAUAUUGCUGGAUUAGCACCAACCAUCUCACUCCCAUCUCUUGGAAAGGAGGAAUCUUGGUAGAGGCAAGGCAACAAUCUUGACACAUUGCCAUCAUGCUGCAGUGGUUGACAAGCUGUAAUCAGCCUCAGGAUUUGAGUCCCUGCAGGGGGGGAUUGUUGGUAUUUGCAUCAGGCAGUUAAUGAAAUGAUCAACGAGAGAACAAAGCAACAAAUAAACCCAAAGCCGAACAGAAGAAAGGCCUCCAACGAUGCCUAAGAAAGCUGUGUCUUUGUGUAUGUGCUAUUGAUGGCCAGAUGUUAUAGAUUGUUAAGUCUUCGCUUGGCUCUGGUCGAUGUCAUGCCAGAAUAUCCUCCUAUUUUCUUCCAAUGCCACAUUUGAAAAUCACACCCGAAGGAUUAAAGCCUUUGCUGAAGGCUUCCCGCUGACCACAGGAUAUAAUGUCAUCUUAUUCUUGUCUUUUAUGUGUUCCCAGGUGGUUUACACUGUCCUCUGCAUCAAAUCAAGCAGUUUUACUUUUUCUGUUUCCAACAGGGUCAGCUGAGCCGCAAAGACUUAACGCUUGAUCGAUCGAACUAAUUAAAGUUUAAUUAGGGAGCUUGUUCUAAACCGAGUACUUGACAAUAACAUGCCAAUGAGAGCACCUCAAGACAAGUAUUUAAUCGGGGAGGCAUGACUACACAACAACAACACUAUCAUGCUCAUUAUCUGUAUUGACGACAGUGUUUCACCAUGAGGCUGAUUUACAGAUAUUGUGCCAUUGAUACUUGCUGAAAAAGCACCCUAAACCAGCCUAAGGUGGUUUGCUGGUCUUUGGUGGCUAACUUGCGGUUUCAAUGGUUCUAGAGGGGUUUUGAACACUUUGACAGCUUGCCAAACAGCUCAACAGACUUCAAGAUCAAAUAAAUCAGGUUAAACCUGCUAAACUUUAAGUUUCUAAACCACACAGCAGUUGAAUUUCAAUCUUGAAAUAAAGAUAGCCACAUAACACAGAAUAAGAUUUGUAAAUAUUUUUACACUGUAUACUGUCUGUAUCGUUCAAAAGUUAGAAUUUUUUAU